CCCUUAGAUGUUCUGGGCCGCACGCGCGCUACACUGAAUGAAUCAGCGAGUCUAUCCUGGGCCGAAAGGUCUGGUAACCCGGUGAACCUCAUUCGUGAUUGGGAUAGGGACUUGCAAUUGUUUCCCUUGAACGAGGAAUUCCCAGUAAGCGCAAGUCAUCAACUUGUGUUGAUUACGUCCCUGCCCUUUGUACACACCGCCCGUCGCUACUACCGAUUGAAUGGUUUAGUGAGAUCCUUGGAUCGGCCCCGUCGCGGCUGGCAACGGCCGCGUCGGCGUGUCGAGAAGACGAUCAAACUUGAUCAUUUAGAGGAAGUAAAAGUCGUAACA
rnacentral:rRNA from 1 species